ensembl:miRNA MIR7154 microRNA 7154
UUCAUGAACUGGGUCUAGCUUGGAGCCUUGGUAGGGAAGCAAGCUGAGGAGAUAGGAGGACAAGUUGUGGGAU